UGCCGACAGGUAGCUCCUCACUGCUACUGAGUUUAGCUGCAUUUCUACCGUCAAUAUUAAUUCAAUAACUGCUUCUAAAGCAAAAACUUCACCAGCGGACAUGUUUGAGCGGGAGUCUGACCUGAAAUCACGGAGAAAUGAACAACAUCAACAAUCAGGAUUACAGCUUUCUGUGACGUUUUCCUCAGGUACAGCAGUGAGCAGUGACCUACAGUCUACACAGCCCAGUGAAGUUAAACAUAUUAUAUAUUACAUAAUAUUAACAUUAGUCAAGCAGUUGUUUUUAGUGAAGAAACACCCAGUAAAUGUACCAAAGUAAUCAGAGUAAUAGUAUAAUGAUUACUGUAACCUCCCAUCUGUUAUAUUCUUUAUACACAUUAGUUUACUGAGACCAUGGAAACAGAAACCUGGAAUACUUGAUCCUGUACAACAUGUCAACAUAACUGAAGGAAUCACUCAUCUAAUAAAGUAAAUUGUUUAUGGGGUUGAAAAACUGCUAAGUAACCAACUGUUAACGGUACUGUAUCCAUAUUUCAUAGUCUGAAAUUUUAACUAAGUAUUAUUACCAAAGUUAUCCUUCAGAUAUUUGUAAAAGCUGCAAUUAUGUUUGAACCCCAUUAAAAAUACUGUAUACUGAAUAUUCUAUCACUUAUAUUAUAUAUUGUGAUGUAAUUUAUCUUCCAACAUAAUAAAGUUUGAAUAUGAGACAGUAA